UACGUAGGAGGCAAGCGUUUGUCCGGAAUUACUGGGCGUAAAGCGCGUGUAGGUGGUGGGACAAGUCUGCUGUGAAAGCGCCUGGCUUAACCGGGCGAGGUCGGCGGAAACUGUCCGACUCGAGGACGGUAGAGGGGGGUGGAAUUCCCGGUGUAGUGGUGAAAUGCGUAGAUAUCAGGAGGAACACCUGUGGUGUAGACAGCUUACUGGACCAUUUCUGACGCUGAGACACGAAAGCGUGGGUAGCAAACAGG
rnacentral:rRNA from 1 species